UCAUAACGACUGCUUUACUCUUCGCAAUUCCCACAUAGGAGCUAUCUUCAUCGAUUUGGAAUGGCCAAGUGUCUCCAACACCAGAAGCAAUGAUUCCACUCUGCAAUCCCAUCGACACCUCUUCUCUACUAAAACCCCAACUUCUCCAUUUCUCUCAAUUUAUCAGUGGCACCACUACUCUCAAAAACAAACUGGCGUUCAUUUCUAAACCCUCAAUUAUUAAAUCCUUCCAUUUCUCUGAUUUAUUUGUUGUGGGACAGUGAAGAUGAGGAAAUUGAAGAGGAGGAUGGGUAUUUUUUGUAGUAAAUGUAGUUAGUUAGAGAUUGGCAUGCAAUUGAAGUGCUUUGCGGGACAUUUCAAUGUUUUUUUUUUCGGCAAAAAAGAAUCAUUCUUUGAGAAUGAUGAGAAUAGAUUGAAUUUCUAAUUUGUUAGUGGUGGUACUGUUACGGCUGUUUAAGGAAGUCAAGAAAACACUAUCGUUGUCUGCUUUAUUGUCCGAAUCUGUCUUCUUGAUAGAACUGUAUUCAUCAUCUAUAAAUGGAGGCUGAUGCUAAUGAUACCCAAUUUUGCAAAUCGGUUGUGUGCACUGCCUGCUGACAGAUCAGUGGAGCUCAUAUCUACUAUCUAGUAUGGUUUUGGUUAGGUGCAAUGCCAGCCCGAUUGGUGCACAAUUGAGGUUGGAUAAUUGGUUUCUAGAAAUUUGCAUUUGGUAUAAAUGUAACCUAAAAAGAAAGAGUUUUUAGUUUGUGAAAAACAACACGAUUGCUUGUGAGUGCUCUGAAUAAAGUUGAGCCAAUGAAUUGUUAAUGAGAUGCCUCUGGCUAACCUCAGAGCUGAAGUUUGAACAUUGAAAUGAUCAUGGAGUUUGGUUUUGAGGAGAAACGUGUUUGACCAGAUAUGGCUUAUCAACAAAAUGAAUUUAUGAUUGAGGGCCUACCUUGUUCUCAUAUGAAGGGUGUCUUUAACUUGUGAUUGAACAGGGUGAAAAGUACAUUUAGUUAUGUCAGGAUAAGCGGCGCGCAAUGAGACUCGUAAAGGAUGAAGCAAGGAGUAGAAUGAAUUAUUUAAUUUGGCACGCUUUGCCUAUACGAAAUUUUGAGAUCACUAUUGAUUGCCUCUUGAUUUUCUUGGAGGAAAGGCAUAAUUAUGUAAUUGCUGUGAUGCAAAUUCCUUGUUCUGUAUUUUCAUUUUCUGUUUCGUUUUUACAUUUAAAAGUAAAAUGAUUAUAUUUGUUGAGA